AGUGAACGCUGGCGGUAGGCCUAACACAUGCAAGUCGAACGGCAGCACAGUAAGAGCUUGCUCUUACGGGUGGCGAGUGGCGGACGGGUGAGGAAUACAUCGGAAUCUACUUUUUCGUGGGGGAUAACGUAGGGAAACUUACGCUAAUACCGCAUACGACCUACGGGUGAAAGCAGGGGAUCUUCGGACCUUGCGCGAUUGAAUGAGCCGAUGUCGGAUUAGCUAGUUGGCGGGGUAAAGGCCCACCAAGGCGACGAUCCGUAGCUGGUCUGAGAGGAUGGAUCGGCACACUGGAACUUGAGAAACGGUCCAGACCCCAACGGAAGGCAGAGUGGGGAAUAUUGGACAAUGGGCGCAAGCCUGAUCCAGCCAUACCGCGUGGGUGAAGAAGGCCUUCGGGUUGUAAAGCCCUUUUGUUGGGAAAGAAAAGCAGCAGGUUAAUACCCCGCUGUUCUGACGGUACCCAAAGAAUAAGCACCGGCUAACUUCGUG
rnacentral:rRNA from 1 species